rnacentral:sRNA from 1 species
CAACCGCAUAAGAAUUCACUGUAGACAGCCGGUGCCGCAAGGCUUAAUAUCCUGCCGAGGCGAAUGACAAUCAUCAACCGAUGAGCUAUAGUCUUUGCCUUGCAGUUUGAGGCAAAGACUUUUUUUAAUCAAAU